CAACGCUGCCGCGGAGGCGCUCGGCGUGGACGGGGACGAGCUCGGCGACCUUCUCUUUACGCUGUCGAAACUAUCGGAGGAGCAGCUCAAAUUCUUUCCAAUAGCCGCUGGCAAUAAGGCAAUCGUUGCGUUUGGGUCCUCUCGCAGACUGCGCAACGCAACGAUUGCCUUAUUGUCAGCGCCUAUCGGAAAGAAUUCGAGCUGCCCCUCCGAUAGUUCCGACAGCGUAAAAAGAAGGUCGCCGAGCUCGGUGCCCGUCCACGCCGAGCCCUCCGCGGCAGCGUUG
rnacentral:pre_miRNA from 1 species